rnacentral:tRNA from 1 species
UGUGGCUUAGUGGUAAAGUGCUUGCCUGGCAUGCAUGAAGCCCUGGGUUCAAUUCCUCAGCA